UGCCAGCCGCCGCGGUAAUACGGAGGGUGCGAGCGUUAAUCGGAUUUACUGGGCGUAAAGCGCACGCAGGCGGUUUGUUAAGCUAGAUGUGAAAGCCCCGGGCUCAACCUGGGAUGGUCAUUUAGAACUGGCAGACUAGAGUUUUGGAGAGGGGAGUGGAAUUCCAGGUGUAGCGGUGAAAUGCGUAGAUAUCUGGAGGAACAUCAGUGGCGAAGGCGGCUCCCUGGCCAAAGACUGACGCUGAGAUGCGAAGGCAUGGGUAGCAAACGGGAUUAGAUA
rnacentral:rRNA from 1 species